CAGCAGCCAGCGGGAAUACGUAGGGUGCAAGCGUUAAUCGGAAUUACUGGGCGUAAAGCGUGCGCAGGCGGUUUGUUAAGACAGAUGUGAAAUCCCCGGGCUCAACCUGGGAACUGCAUUUGUGACUGGCAAGCUAGAGUGUGGCAGAGGGGGGUGGAAUUCCGCGUGUAGCAGUGAAAUGCGUAGAUAUGCGGAGGAACACCGAUGGCGAAGGCAGCCCCCUGGGCCAACACUGACGCUCAUGCACGAAAGCGUGGGGAGCAAACAGGAUUAGAUACCCCCGUAGUCCCUGUCUCUUAUA
rnacentral:rRNA from 1 species